rnacentral:lncRNA from 1 species
CAAGUUGGAUUAAGUAUAAUUCAAACAAAAAUGGCUAGCCGAUCAUGUUUGUAUGUUGUUCUUCUACUUCUAGCAUUUCAAUCCACCGUGAUUAAGGCUACUGUUCCUGUUGUUCCACCUCAGUGCCGACCCGUACCGGCUGGCACCUUAGCACGGAUUGAAUUCCUUGCUAACCUUGUCAUAGGAGUAGCAGAAUUUUUUCUGCGUUCUUCGAAUGGUACUGGAAUCGAGGAUAUAGCACCAGGUCUGGUUCAAGGUCCCGUUCCCAUCGGAGCCACCCUUGCCACUCUCGAUAA